AUAUGUUUGCAGGGGGACGCAUUGGCGUUGAGAAGGUAAAACCUGACCCUUUGAACCUGUUGGCUAAAACCAGCGUAGGGAGCAACGUCUUGAAGCAC
rnacentral:ncRNA from 2 species